UACGGAGGGGGCAAGCGUUACUCGGAAUUAUUGGGCGUAAAGGGCGCGUAGGCGGUCGUGUGCGUCGGAGGUGAAAUCCCCGGGCUUAACCCGGGAGCUGCCUCCGAUACGGCAUGGCUUGAGUCCGGGAGAGGGGAGCAGAAUUCCCAGUGUAGCGGUGAAAUGCGUAGAUAUUCGGAAGAACACCAGUGGCGAAGGCGGCUCACUGGCCCGGUACUGACGCUGAGGUGCGAAAGCGUGGGGAGCAAACAGG
rnacentral:rRNA from 1 species